CAGCACUCAUGGGACUCCGGAAGCCCCAGAACUGCCCAUACCUGUGGUUGAUCAUGAAAAACCCCAGGAAACUCUCUAAGCCACCACUUCUUCUAAAACCUGAACCAGCUCCGCCCUCCUAUCACUGGCCUGCCCACUCCUGCUCACGGGGACCUCACUUCUUACCUUGUCCCUGGGGAGCCAGCCUGGCCCGCGGGAUGUCACUGCUGGAGGCCGUCAUCUUCUCAUCUCUCUGGGCCUUUGGCCUUGGGCAGGGGAAACUGGAACAACCUGAAAUAUCAAUUUCCAGAGCAAGGGGGAAGAGUGCACACAUAUCGUGCAAGAUGUCCACUGAGGUCAUCAACAGAGCCAUACACUGGUACCGGCAGAAGCCAGAUCAAGAGAUAGAACAUCUAACACUUGUCUCAACACAGCCCGUUCAAGUUUCUUUAGGAGGGAAGAGCGAAAAACUUGAGGCAAGUAAAAACGCUCACACUUCCACUGCAACCUUGAAAAUAAAUUUCUUAGAGCAAGAAGAUGAGGCCGUGUACUUCUGUGCCUUCUGGGACUAGAGCCACAGCACCAGAGUUGCCAGGAGAGGCUGCACAAGAACCGUGCUCGGUCUGGGUCCACCCACAUCCUUCUCCACCUGGGCAACCACAGAGGCCGCACAGCCCGGUGCCCAGCCGGAGCCUCUCCCUCUGCAGUAGUUCCUGACCUUUGCAGGAAGACAUUGUAGAUUCUGCUCGCACAGCGAGCCCCACGUGAUACCAGCAGUGACGGUCCCCGUGAAAGCAGUUUGACACUGGUUCCCGCUGGAUUCAGCUGUCUGGGAACUCUGAAGACGCAGGGUGGAUGGAUCAGGGAAAAAUCCAUGUGUCUGUUAAUUCACUGUGGAGACAGAGGUUUCUAGCACCCGAGUGGCUCAGAAUGAAGAGAGGAAAGGACAUAAAUAUUUCCUGUCAUUUUUACUUUCUGAUUUAAUUCACGGGCAUUACAGUUCUUCACAGGUGGAAUGAUCUGUCAGACAUAAUAACUGAGGCCAUCCUGAAGGAAUCUAGUGACCGUGAAACCAUGAAGUAAGCAACCAGGUCUUUGGGGAAUAGGAGACACCAAGGUAUAAAUUCUGUAUCCUGGAGAGAUAGACAGUGCCUCACUCCACAUCCAGGGAUCGAUAUGGGGACAAAACCAGAGAUGUACUUUUAAACAGCCCUGAGCACUUCACAUGCUUCCAACAGGGCGGAUAUGCCUCCAAGACUUAGUUCUCCAGGGUUCUACAAAGAGAAAGAAAGAUCCCGAAUAAGAAUCA